GACGAAGGAUGCAAGCGUUAUCCGGAUUCAUUGGGUUUAAAGGGAGCGUAGGUGGCCUUAUAAGUCAGUGGUGAAAUCUCUGGGCUUAACCCAGAAACUGCCGUUGAUACUAUUUGUCUUGAAUAUCCUGGAGGUAGGCGGAAUAUGUCAUGUAGCGGUGAAAUGCUUAGAUAUGACAUAGAACACCGAUAGCGAAGGCAGCUUACUACGGGAUGAUUGACGCUGAGGCACGAAAGCGUGGGGAGCAAACAGG
rnacentral:rRNA from 1 species